UAGGAGUAGCUGAAUGCCAAGAGACGAGUUAGAACAAGUUUUAGUUCCAAAGAUGAUUAGACUGGAAAGAAAACUGAUCCAAGGAGGGUCAUUUCUGUGUAGAUCUAAAGACAAAAGCAUGAUUUAGAUUUUCAGGAAGACAGAUUUAUCAAAGAGCAGGCUUGCUUCUGACAUGGAGAAAGGUUACACACUGCUAAGAAAGUCAGCUAAACACUCUGGACAGAAUACUAACUGAACUCGAGGGAUCAUUUAUCAGCAUAUAAAAGAACUGACUAAAGGCAGCAAUGCAGGGAAGGUGCCAUCAGCAAGAGGCUGGGCCACCAUGGACAUUAUCCCCACUCCUUAAAGGGCAAAGGAAAAAACCACUGCUGAAAAUAUAACCUAAUAUUCCUCAUGUUCAAAUGAAGACACCCAUAUAAGCUGAAAUUAAUUCACUGGGAAGAAAAACUGAACAGAUAAAUCCUUACUGUCUAUUUUGUGCAUUUAAAUAGCAUGUGAACGAAGCUUCCUAAAAGCUUUCCGGUAUUCUGGCCAGAAAGUCAUCCUGGAAACAAAUGUUCUUCCCUUCCCAUUAAGUAGAAAGACUCAUGACCUACAUCAGAACACAUACCUGGCACCAAGGCAACUGACUCCCACAGACUAUUUUCUGGGGAGGGCAUGGAAUGUAUUUAAAGGCCUCUAUCUCAAAUCGGUCAUUAUGUAUUAGGAUAAUCAAAACAUCUUAAUAGAUUCAAUGUUCCUAUAGAAACAGUGCUUUGGAGUGACCAGUGUUAGCUGCUAGUAUCAAACAUGCCUAUAAUAGUGUAGCAACAGUACUUUUCCUCCCACUUAUCUACCAAACAAACCAAUACCAUCACACACAAUAAAGAACAUCCCAUAAGCUGCUUGGCCUCAGUAAGGCUGGCCAUAGCAAGCCCAUGGCCCAUGACAGAACACCAAGAAGGAUGAGGAAGGAGUUGAUGGGGAAAGAACAGACAGAAGGUGUUCUAAAAAUAGAAGACUUUAGCUAUGCACAUGGUAAUAUAAGCCAAAGGGGAGUGUUGAAGUUGUAAUACACACUAGGCUUGGGUAUAAUACCACAGUAGAUGGAAGUCUUUAAAAAAAGAUUCCUUCCUAAACCUUUUGUGCUAAUUCCCUGCCUGGAAUUAACACACACAGCAG
rnacentral:lncRNA from 1 species